rnacentral:lncRNA from 1 species
ACACAAAACAAAUUUAAAAAACAAUACCCAACUCACAACAAAAUUGGAGACUUUUCUGUUUGCAGAGUUGUUUCCUAUCUAUUAUCAGGUGUUUCUUGGGUAGUGAUUAGACUACACUGUGUUAAUUGAGGACAAGUCAGUUGCAGCAGAUGUUUUCAUGAUGUUGUGAUGACUGUAGGUGAAAAAGUAGAUUUUGGUUUUCUUAAUAAUAGUACCAAAAGGUUUGUAUGUUUGUUUUUCCAGAGGUCUUACACCUGCUGAAAAUGAUGAAUUUUUACCAUUCAUGGACAGGAGCUCAGCAUAUGGAAGCAGCUGUCACAGGAGAUGACUCUGGAGAAACUCUAUCCAAACAAGAGAAGCAGCAAGGAGGUGACAUUUUGAAGAUAAAUAAACAUCUUCCUCAUUUUUCUCUACUUUUUUACCUACACCUUGAAGAAUGACAUUAGAAGGUGGGUUUUUUUAACUAUUUCCUUUGCUUCUAUCCCUUAUCACUACAUACAUCAAAAUAAAAUUAAAGUAAAUUAGUAUGUGGUAUUUGCC